UACAGAGGUCUCAAGCGUUAUUCGGAUUCAUUGGGCGUAAAGGGUGCGUAGGUGGCGAUGUAAGUCUGGUGUGAAAUCUCGGAGCUUAACUCCGAAACUGCAUUGGAUACUGCGUUGCUUGAGGAUUGUAGAGGAGAGUGGAAUUCACGGUGUAGCAGUGAAAUGCGUAGAUAUCGUAAGGAAGACCAGUGGCGAAGGCGAAUCUCUGGACAGUUACUGACACUGAGGCACGAAGGCCAGGGGAGCAAACGGG
rnacentral:rRNA from 1 species